UCUCUCUCUUGUCAAGGCCUAAUGAUUGAAAAGAUACUUGUAGCUAUUGUAAAAAGGCGAUAAGGAAGGAGGAGGAGGAGGAGGAAGAGAAGGAGAAAGAUGAUUAGGAAGAGGAGUAAGAGGAAAAAGAAGAUAAUGAUUAGGAAGAGGAAGAUGAGAGAAAGGCGAUGAUGAUUACGAGGAAGAGAAGAAAGCAAAUGAUUAGUAAGAGGAAGAGGAGGAGAAAGAUGAUGAUCUGAGGAGGAGGAUGGAAAAAGACAUGAAAAAUGGGAAGUAAAAAUGUUUAGUCUACGUGCAUCUAUAAAUCCCGAAGUGCUUUGAUGGUGCACCGCCUUGGAUGUCACCGAGAUGUAGACAAGAAAAAUAGAAUAUACGACCAACAGACGCAAAAUGUAACCCUCGUUGGACAGUUAGUAUAAUCCCCUUAAUCCGGCGCAUAUUGUACCCUCUAUAAGACUCACUUGUACCGUAGAAAACAGCACAUGUAUCCUUUUUAGACAGAAGAUGCACCCCUGAAGAAGCGUUAAAAUAUGGCCCUUGUUAGCAAGUAAAUGAAACAGAGUCGACCAAGUUACGCUCCCUAAAGAACCACCAGUAGUUACCUCCAUUGGAUCCGCGGAAGACAGCCACUCUGAAGACACGAAUGUACCCUGUUAGCGACGCGAAUAUAGCCACUUUAGACACACUGACGUCCUCUUUUAGGCACGUUAACUAUAGCUACUUCGAAGACACAAAACAAAUAUGUAGCUUCAUAACACACACACACACACAUACGUACACAGUUAUAAGCAAAGCAUAUCCAUUCAAGACACCCAUAAAUGUACCCUUUUAGCAAAUAUAGCCACUUAAGACACACAAACGUCCACUUUUAGACACGUUAACUAUUGGUACUUCGAAGACACACACGUACUACAUCCUGAUACAGACACAACAUAUAGCCACUUAAGACACACAAACGUUCCCACUUAGACACGUUAACUACAACUACUUCGAAGACACACUCGUACAUCCUGAUACAGACACAACAUAUAGCCACUUAAGACACACAAACGUUCCCACUUAGACACGUUAACUACAGCUACUUCGAAGACACACUCGUACACCCUGAUACAGACACAACAUAUAGCCACUUAAGACACACACACACGUACCCAGUUACACGCAAAACAUAUCUAUUUAAGACACCCAUAAAUGUACCCUGUUAGCGACGCAUAUACGUAUAGCCUGCCACUUGAGAGACACGUGAAUGUACCCCCUCCGCCAGCGACAGAAAAUUCACCAUAAUUAAGAACCACAGAAUAUACCUUCCUUGGCGACGCAGGUAGCGGGGAGGAAGCGGGGCGUGGCGGGGACGUAAAAACAGUGAAGUCAAGCAUGGCAGGCAGGCAGGAGGCAGUCGGGCAGGAAGGGGAGGAAAACAUUGCCUCAUUUUCUUCAACAUUUCUUUCUUUUUCUUUUCGACUCCCAAGCACACGCACUAGACAAGGCUUUCAUGGGGAUUUUGGGUAUUUCCAUGGGUACUCUUAUGGCCCUGGUGGUAGUUUGACCCUUCUUCUGUACCAUGCACCUAAAUAAGCGCUCAAGAAAACCUGAUUAAUUUCUCUCCCGGCCUUGGAAAUAGUUGAUUUGAGAGGCGGAAGCGUCUGAGAAUACGGACCUAAUUGAAGCAUUCACCUCGUAAGUAAGAGAGAGAGAGAGAGAGAGAGAGAGAGAGAGAGAGAGAGUAUAGAUAAACGCGAUUAAUAAAAAAAAUGCAUGCUUAAAAUAACGUAAGCAUUUACCGAUGAAGAUCUAGAAAAAAAUGACAGUAAUAAUCGGAAUAAAAAGUGCGUUCUCUAUUACUUAACAAAAUUACAACCAACUCCAACUCGAAAACGAAGAAAACAUACUAAUACAGAGGAGACUAUUAUAAAGCUAACAUAAUACCAAACGAUACAGUUCAAAGCAAAGAAUAACAGAAAAUGAUGUUAGCUUAACGUAUACUACUCCACACACCUUUUUUUUAUUAUUUGUAUAGUGGUAGAUUAUCUUUUUUCCUUCUCUUUUACUCUUUCUCUUUAAUUCUCUUUAGUUAGGCUGGACGGAGUUAAAAAUGUGCCGAUAUGGAAGAGAGAGAGAGAGAGAGAGAGAGAGAGAGAGAGAACUUACCUCUUAGUAUGACUGUUGCUGGGUAUAAUGAUAUGUAUAGGUGUGUGUGUGUGUGUGUGUGUGUGUGUGUGUGUGUGUGUGUGUGUGUGUGUGUGUUUAUAUAAUUCUUGCCUCCAGUAACGCAGGAAGGAAAGGGUCAAGGCUUGUAAGAUAAGAGGAUGUGUAGUACAAUGGAAUUUCCCGUGUGUGUGUGUGUGUGUGUGUGUGUGUGUGUGUGUGUGUGUGUGAAGGGAAGAAAACGGAGAAGUAUAAGAAGUAUGUGUUUGGAAAGUGAAAGGAAGAGGAGGAGGAGGAGGACAAGAAAGGUAGGAGGAAAUGAAAGAAGAGGAGGAGGAGGAGGAGGAGGAUGUUCUUUUCUCACAUAACAACAUAAAAAGAGAGGAAUAGUCAAGUUUACGUGGUGGUGGGGGAGAGAGAGAGAGAGAGAGAGAGAGAGAGAAAACCAAUACCACAACUCUUACAUAAGAGAGACACACCAUUUACAUAAAGCACUCAUACAGGGUCGGGGAGUCAAUCGUCUAUCGUGUGCAGUAUUAAUCCAACUCUUACUCCUUGGUGGCGUGGAAGUUACUUAUUUAGAGAACUCGUUAAGCAGCCACUGGACUAAUGAACGAGCAUCAAAGAGGGUUACUAUACCAUUUAUUGACUUACCUAAUUAGUGGCCCUGUUAGAGAAUCAUAAAGAGAAGAUGGGAAGCAGUAAAGGGAGAGUAGGGAAGAAGGAAGGUUCGGUAGAUAAUGAAGAGAAGAUGGGAAGAAAAAAACGAAGGGUAGAUUAUGAAGAUGAGAAGAAGAAGGAGGAAAGUGUAGGGUAGGAGGGAGGUUUGGUAGAGGAUGAAGAGAAGAAGAAAAGAAGACGAAGACGCAGGAAAGAGUAUAGGGAAGGACUUAGGUUUCGUAGAAGAUGAAAAGAAGAAGAAGAGAAGGAAAGAGUAUAAGGAAGGAGGCUUGGUAGAGGAUGAAAAGAAGAAGAAAAAGAAGGAAAGAGUAAGGAUGGAAGGGGUUAGGUUUGGUAGAGGAUGAAAAAAUAAGAGAAAUAGAAGGAAAAAGUAGGGAAGUAAGUAGGUUUGGUAGAGGAUGAAAAGAAGAAGAAGUAGAAGGAAAGAGUAAGGAUGGAAGGGGUUAGGUUUGGUAGAGGAUGAAAAAAUAAGAGAAAUAGAAGGAAAAAGUAGGGAAGUAAGUAGGUUUGGUAGAGGAUGAAAAGAAGAAGAGAAGUAGAAGGAAAGAGUAGGGAAUUAAGGAGGUUUGGUAGAGGAUGGAUAGAAGCAGAAGAGAAGGAAAGAGUAGGGAAGGAGUUAGGUUUGGUAGAGGAUGAAAAGAAGAAGAGGAGAAGUAGAAGGAAAGUAGGGAAGUAAGGAGGUUUGGUAGAGGAUGAAUAGAAGCAGAAGCGAAGGAAAGAGUUUGGAAGUAAGGAGGUUUGGUAGAAGAUGAAUAGAAGAAGAGAAGUAGAAGGAAAGAGUAGGGAAUUAAGGAGGUUUGGUAGAGGAUGAAUAGAAGCAGAAGAGAAGGAAAGACUAGGGAAGUAAGGAGGUUUCGUAGAAGAUGAAUAGAAGCAGAAGAGAAGGAAAGAGUAGGGAAGGAGUUAGGUUUGGUAGAGGAUGAAAAGAAGAAGAGGAGAAGUAGAAGGAAAGAGUAGGGAAUGAGUUAGGUUUGGUAGAUCAUGAAGAGAAGAAGAAGAAGACGAAGUGAAUCAGACAUAUACCCAGUCUCCAAAACAAUCAACACCACAGAGUAAACAAAUCACGACUCAAAUCAUCAUUCAUACAGUCAUUCACUUAUUCAUUCAGAUAGUCAGUUAGAGAAUGAAUGAGUCAAACUUUCAUGAGCCAUACACAUCCGAAGACUCAAACAGACGCAUUUUCAUUAAUUUUUUUUUCACGCCCUUGAACUAUCUGAAAAAAAAAAAAAUCGAAGUAAACAAACAAGAUCGAUGUAA